rnacentral:rRNA from 1 species
CCUACGGGAGGCAGCAGUAGGGAAUAUUGCUCAAUGGGGGAAACCCUGAAGCAGCAAAGCCGCGUGGAGGAUGACGGUUUUCGGAUUGUAAACUCCUUUUGUUAGAGAAGAUAAUGACGGUAUCUAACGAAUAAGCACCGGCUAACUCCGUGCCAGCAGCGGCGGUACUACGGAGGGUGCAAGCGUUACUCGGAAUCACUGGGCGUAAAGCGCGCGUAGGCGGGAUAGCAAGUCAGAUGUGAAAUCCUAUGGCUUAACCAUAGAACUGCAUUUGAUACUGUUAUUCUAGAGUAUGGGAGAGGUAGGUGGAAUUCGUGGUGUAGCGGUAAAAUCCGUAGAGAUCAAGAGGAAUACUCAUUGCGAAGGCAGCCUGCUAGAACAUAACUGACGCUGAUGCGCGAAAGCGUGGGUAGCAAACAGGAUUAGAUACCCGAGUAGUC